UAUACAGGUAUAUGUGUAUAUCUAUAUAUGUCCAUUCUUGUCAAGUACACCAAACCCUGAGCUAAAAUCAGAUAAUAAAAAUGUGACCAAUUUCCAAAGACACAGACUACUGUCAUUUUGCUCAAUUUCUAAAUUUGCAGAUAUUAGAAAAUAAUAUGUAAAAUGCUUUUCCCUAAUUACCAAUGCAUAUGCAGUAAGAAAAACAUUUUAGUUUUACACAGGCAAAUGCACAUGUGUCCCCCCCACACACACACUGGCUAACAGUAUGCUUUGCAUUUUACCUGCAAAGCAUAGGUAUUUGAUAAAUUUCAUAUUUUUCUGCUUUGUCAUUGAAAUUGUUUGCAUUAUAAAAACAAAAUGUGUUCCUACAGAACAUUUUUAAACUUCAUAAACAUACCAUAAAGAAUGAAAACCAAUGUCCCAUCAGUAGCUCAACCAAUUGUUAACCACUGAAAGGCCUGGGGGUAGAUUUACUUUAUGUUCCUGUGUGGUUUCUUCAGGUCUUUUAUAAUUGUAUAUGUAUUGGGGUUAUAAGGAGAUGAUGUUGUUAAUGUUAUAGCUUGCACAGAGAAACAUUCAGUAGCUAGUAGGUGCUAGUAAGAAAGGUAGCAUCCUUUUGUCAAUUAUUUUUACUUUAACUCCAUCUUGAUCUGCAGUAGCUUUGGGAGUGUUGUUUAUACAGUAUUUCAUUUCAUGAAUGUGCCAUUAGGUUAGUGUAUUUGAGUACAUCAAAUUUUUACCAUUAUAAAUAAAGCAAGGUUUAAUAUAUAUAUGUGUAUAGCUUUUGCUCAUGUGUGUCACCCUAUGAUACAUUCUGAAUAAAAUCUGAAUACUGUUUUUUAGGCUCUUGAAACUGUUCAUAGGAAUGUGCACUGUGUGUUUCCAGCAGAACUUCAUUCAGUGAUUACCUCAAAGGGAAUCUGCAGUUCUAGUUUUGAUUAUAAAAAUGACUGACCUGAAGGAACAAGAUGAGUACAAAGGGGAUGACAGUAAUUAUGUGACCUUCAUGCGAUUCACCGUAUAAACGCCUUCUCUAAUUCUAAGUCCACGAGUAUGUAUGGUUCUUUACUAUCUCGUAGAAAGCUGUAAUAUAAUGGAGACUUAAAACCUCUAAUAGCAGAGGUUUUUCAUUCUUUGCCUCAUUUUACCCAAGAGCAAGUUGGCAGAGUACAUGUUUAAGUGGGGACAGGUUUGAUUUCUGUUGAUUUAAACAACUUUAUCUUAGUUGGGGAAUACACAUUAUCACUUAGAAAUCAAAAUAUUAAGCCAGGUAUUAGUAACCCAUAAACACUUUAAAUCAUGUUAAAUUAUGAACCAGAACAUACCCAACAUGAAAUCUUAAUGUAAGUCAGUAUAACAUUUAUUUAUAUCAAGCAGUGUUUACUUCAGGUUUUUUUUCUUAUUAUUAAUUUCUCUAGAUAAGAAAGUCACAAACAGAUUUCACCAAAUCUUUCAUAUACCAUAUACUUUAGGCAUCACUUCAGCUCAAAGAUUAGGGAAAGUUUUCUACCUGUAAAGUCGGGUCUCCAUUAAUUACCCAUAUGCUAGACUUGCUUUACUUUAUCUAGCAAUGGGGGUGGGUUAUGAAUUCUACUGAUAAUGUCCAUUUUGUGCACCACUUAGGCUGUGAUGUUUCUACUUCCCAUUCAUGCUCAGUACUUACCUGGUAACUAGUUUGGCCAUAAGCAUCAAAUUCAUGCCUAUCAUUUGAGAAUGCCUCCAUGUGCAGCUCAGUAUCAAGCGAAUGCCUUUCAAGUUAGCCUCCAGGCUCAAUGUGUAGAAGUGGGUUUUGGAUACCCUGUUGGGGACUUCCACUGAUCAGAUUCCUCAGGUCCAAACCCUACAGAAGUUCUAUCACCUUCCCACUCCUUCCACUGUGGUUCUUCAAGGGGAGUGCUCCCAGGAUGUGCACAAGGUGCAGUGGUCAAGCCCCACUGAAGCCCUGCCAGUCAUAGAUUGCAUGGAAGGAACCCUGCAAACACAUCUGGACUCAACUGGUUAAAAGUGUAGGAGCUCCUCUACGUAUCUGUUCAGAUGCUUCUGUAUUCCGAUCCUACUAGAAGAGUGCAACAGACACAUAGCAUUCAUUUGCUCAGAACACCAAGAUACACAUCUAGAACUGUGAAGAAAGUAAAAGAAUCAGCAGCAGCUUGAGAACAUGAUAGGAGGAAGAGAUGCUUCAAGUGUCUUCAGAAACAGGACAGUGCUAAAGAUAUGGAGCUAUCAACUGUUCACGCAUUUCAAACUGAAAGAGAAAAAGAUUGAAGUGAAUGCUGAGAGCACAAUUGUCCUGCUGAGAAAUGGCCAACAGCAGCAUCCCCAACAUGAAUGACAUUGAGACCACAUCAGCCUGCAGAGUACUGGAAGGGAGGAAGAUUAUUCUAGCACCUGCUGCAAACUUGUUUUCUCCCUAGGAGCCAAUGAGUCAUCAUAGCACAGGGAAAAUUAUGGAGCAAUGCAAUGCAGAGAAUUUUAAAAAUUCUACUCAUAAUUCUGCCUCUUUAUAAAACAAGCACCAUGAAGACAAUAUUUGCACACAGACAUCAUUCCUGUACAUUUAACAGUGGAGGGCCUUCCCAGCACAGCAGGUAUAACUUACUUUGUUGAAAAGAUAACAUCAGUGGGUCAACUUUCAUUCCUACACUCCAGUUGGUGCAUUUUUCACUGAAUAGGCAUAUUUAAAAUUUAAACACUUCUUUAGGAUUAAGGUCUACACACACAAAAUAUCAAACCUGUAUAAAUUAAAACCAGCUAUUAUUGUGAGUAGCAGAAAGGCUCUUAUGUAGCAGCCUGUGAAAGUUAAUCAGAAAACUGGUAAUAAUGGAGUCUUUCAAAAAUAAAACAAAGACACAAA